AGAGUUUGAUCCUGGCUCAGGACGAACGCUGGCGGCGUGCCUAACACAUGCAAGUCGAGCGAUGAAACCCUUCGGGGUGGAUUAGCGGCGGACGGGUGAGUAACACGUGGGUAACCUGCCUCGUAGAGGGGGAUAGCCUCCCGAAAGGGAGAUUAAUACCGCAUAACAUAUUUUAGUCGCAUGACUAGAAUAUCAAAGGAGUAAUCCGCUACGAGAUGGACCCGCGGCGCAUUAGCUAGUUGGUGAGGUAACGGCUCACCAAGGCGACGAUGCGUAGCCGACCUGAGAGGGUGAUCGGCCACAUUGGAACUGAGACACGGUCCAGACUCCUACGGGAGGCAGCAGUGGGGAAUAUUGCGCAAUGGAGGAAACUCUGACGCAGCAACGCCGCGUGAAUGAUGAAGGCCUUAGGGUUGUAAAGUUCUGUCUUCUGGGACGAUAAUGACGGUACCAGAGGAGGAAGCCACGGCUAACUACGUGCCAGCAGCCGCGGUAAUACGUAGGUGGCAAGCGUUGUCCGGAUUUACUGGGCGUAAAGGAUGCGUAGGCGGACAUUUAAGUCAGAUAUGAAAUACCCGAGCUCAACUUGGGUGCUGCAUUUGAAACUGGAUGUCUAGAGUGCAGGAGAGGUAAGUGGAAUUCCUAGUGUAGCGGUGAAAUGCGUAGAGAUUAGGAAGAACACCAGUGGCGAAGGCGACUUACUGGACUGUAACUGACGCUGAGGCAUGAAAGCGUGGGGAGCAAACAGGAUUAGAUACCUGGUAGUCCACGCCGUAAACGAUGAAUACUAGGUGUGGGGG
rnacentral:rRNA from 1 species